rnacentral:rRNA from 1 species
AUUGAACGCUGGCGGCAGGCCUAACACAUGCAAGUCGAGCGGAUGAAGGGAGCUUGCUCCUGGAUUCAGCGGCGGACGGGUGAGUAAUGCCUAGGAAUCUGCCUGGUAGUGGGGGAUAACGUCCGGAAACGGGCGCUAGUACCGCAUACGUCCUGAGGGAGAAAGUGGGGGAUCUUCGGACCUCACGCUAUCAGAUGAGCCUAGGUCGGAUUAGCUAGUUGGUGGGGUAAAGGCCUACCAAGGCGACGAUCCGUAACUGGUCUGAGAGGAUGAUCAGUCACACUGGAACUGAGACACGGUCCAGACUCCUACGGGAGGCAGCAGUGGGGAAUAUUGGACAAUGGGCGAAAGCCUGAUCCAGCCAUGCCGCGUGUGUGAAGAAGAUCUUCGGAUUGUAAAGCACUUUAAGUUGGGAGGAAGGGCAGUAAGUUAAUACCUUGCUGUUUUGACGUUACCAACAGAAUAAGCACCGGCUAACUUCGUG